rnacentral:rRNA from 1 species
GACGAACGCUGGCGGCGUGCUUAACACAUGCAAGUCGAACGGAAAGGCCCCCUUGUGGGGUACUCGUGUGGCGAACGGGUGAGUAACACGUGAGUAACCUACCCUUGACUUUGGGAUAACUUCAGGAAACUGGGGCUAAUACCGGAUAGGAGCUCCUGCUGCAUGGUGGGGGUUGGAAGGUUUCGGCGGUUGGGGAUGGACUCGCGGCUUAUCAGCUUGUUGGUGGGGUAGUGGCUCACCAAGGCGUUGACGGGUAGCCGGCCUGAGAGGGUGACCGGCCACAUUGGGACUGAGAUACGGCCCAGACUCCUACGGGAGGCAGCAGUGGGGAAUAUUGCACAAUGGGCGGAAGCCUGAUGCAGCAACGCCGCGUGCGGGAUGACGGCCUUCGGGUUGUAAACCGCUUUCGCCUGUGACGAAGCGUGAGUGACGGUAAUGGGUAAAGAAGCACCGGCUAACUACGUG